AAUUUUCAAUUUCCAUAAGAAAUAAACGACACCUUUACAUCCCCCGCCCCCCAUUUUUAUGUAUGAUCAUAUAUGCAUAAUUGCAUAUAUUCUUCAAGCAACACUUAUGAUGCUGUCACCACCAGACAUGGCCUGAAAAGCUGAAGAUUGGGACGUUGUCGACGCCGUCGGCGACUGCUCCUCUGAUGAAGGAGUAGAGAGCUUCAGUGACAGUGGUACCAGUUCGUUGUUGGGACUCUUCUGGUUCAAGUUGAGAUCAGCCAUUUUUGAAGAUGGAGGAACCGGGAUGAUUGGUAUUGGACGAAGGAGCUUCGGUGACUUACUGAGUUUGGAGCUGCUUGAUCCUAAUGAGAGCUUAUCCACAGAGUUGUCGCCGGUGACCGGUAACGCUACAGGGCGAAGCGAUACUGGGAAAUUUGACAUGGGAAAUCCUCCAAUAUUAUUGCACAAGAGUGGCUGUGGUGGCAGCGGUAGAGCCGCAGUUUCUUGGUGGACUUGCUCUUCUUCCAUUGAUGAACCCAAGAAUGUAUCAGUGGUGAUAUCAAAUAGACUAGAUCGGCGGCGGCGACGAUUGUGGUUGUUUCGCCGGAGAAAGUACUUUUGAGCAUGACUAGCCACCUGGGUAGGCGUACGUGUCUUCACAAAGUUUCUUGAAAUUCCUCUCCAAUCUCCUUUCCC
rnacentral:misc_RNA from 1 species